rnacentral:rRNA from 1 species
UACGGAGGGUGCAAGCGUUGUUCGGAAUCACUGGGCGUAAAGCGCGUGUAGGCGGCCUUCUUAGUCUGGUGUGAAAGCCCGGGGCUCAACCCCGGAAGAGCAUUGGAUACUGGAAGGCUGGAGUACCGGAGAGGAGGGUGGAAUUCCUGGUGUAGCGGUGAAAUGCGUAGAUAUCAGGAGGAACACCGGUGGCGAAGGCGGCCCUCUGGACGGAUACUGACGCUGAGACGCGACAGCGUGGGGAGCAAACAGG